rnacentral:ncRNA from 1 species
UCUUUCUUGUCGGAGUGCCGCCGCCGGGCGGCUGAGAUUGCGAAAGCAAAAUCCGUAGAACCUGUCGGGGUAAUGCCUGCGUAGGAAACAAACCUUCCCUGCCC